CGCGCAGGUGCGGGACGUCCGCGCGUGGCUGGCGACCGCGGUGGGGCGGCUCUGCCUCGACCGGGUCCGCUCCGCACCGGCCCGGCGCGA
rnacentral:tRNA from 1 species